UGAAAAGACAACAGAGGACUUUAGUCCAAGGAUUUAUUCACGUAGGAACACCAGCAUGGGCAACAGUAAAAGGGAAAGCUUUCCCACACCAAUGUUUCUCAACCCAUUACUGAGAAACCACCUCUAGGGAAUGAGAAGGUAGUUCAGCCUUCAUGUCCUUUCAGUCUUUGCCUCC
rnacentral:sRNA from 1 species